rnacentral:rRNA from 1 species
UACGGGGGGGGCAAGCGUUGUUCGGAAUUACUGGGCGUAAAGGGCGCGUAGGCGGCCUGCUAAGUCGGAUGUGAAAUCCCUCGGCUCAACCGAGGAACUGCAUCCGAUACUGGCGGGCUUGAAUCCGGGAGAGGGAUGUGGAAUUCCAGGUGUAGCGGUGAAAUGCGUAGAUAUCUGGAGGAACACCGGUGGCGAAGGCGGCAUCCUGGACCGACACUGACGCUGAGGCGCGAAAGCUAGGGGAGCAAACGGG